UUGAUCAUUAAUUAUUUAUGGGAUCCCAAAAAGUGGCUAAUCGAGCCAGAAAGUCUAAUUGAAGAAUCACCUCAUGCUUCCUCAAGUUGUCGUAGUAGUAUCUCAUUGUCUAAUUGAGAAUAGAUUGUAAAUUUAGAUUUGAAGGGAAGCUUUAGAUUAGCAGUAACCAUUAUUACUGUUCGGUGACCGAUGAAUCAAAAUUUAUGACUUAGUAUUUUGGCAUUUCAGCGUUGUCCGAUGAAUUAAUCGCAGCCGAAAAGGAGACGAAAAAGUUAACAAUGAUCGGAGCUCCGGUUCAGACACUCUGGUUCCUGACCGCGGUUAGCCAAAUUCAGCCAGCAGUAGCCAAUUUAGCAGUGAGUCCUCAUCAGUCGAUGAUAUGAUUUUAUUUUAGUACUUCAGCUUAGCAGUAUUUUAGAGAUGGAGUUAGUUGAGGGAUUAUUCUAUCAACUCCACUUUCAGACAGUUUUAGUUAGAGGCUUUUCAGACUAGAUUUUCAGACAGUAGUUCAGAUUCAGAUGUUAUUAUUCAUUAUCAGUAUUUUAGAUGUUUUGAACCAUAUGUAAUUUAGCCUAUUAUUCCGCAAUUAUUUCAGUAUUAUUGGGGUUGCAAGCACCGUGUGAAGACUAGGGGGUAGUCUCGGGUUGUUACAAAAGCCAUCUAUCUGAAUUUUUGGCAUGAAGAAAAGCUAAAUUUUUGGACUUGAGCUAUAGGAAAUUGAUCACUUGGAUUAGCCACUUGUUGUGGAGUUGAGAGUUGUUUGUCUUAAACUAGAAUGAGCAGACCUGUGCUGUAAUCUAAUUGUUUUAUUUAAUA